GACGAACGCUGGCGGCGUGCUUAACACAUGCAAGUCGAACGGAAAGGCCCUGCUUUUGUGGGGUGCUCGAGUGGCGAACGGGUGAGUAACACGUGAGUAACCUGCCCUUUACUUUGGGAUAACUUCAGGAAACUGGGGCUAAUACCGGAUAGGAGCUCCUGCUGCAUGGUGGGGGUUGGAAAGUUUCGGCGGUUGGGGAUGGACUCGCGGCUUAUCAGCUUGUUGGUGGGGUAGUGGCUUAACAAGGCUUUGACGGGUAGCCGGCAUGAGAGGGUGACCGGCGACAUUGGGACUGAGGUACGGCCCAGACUCCUACGGGAGGCAGCAGUGGGGAAUAUUGCACAAUGGGCGGAAGCCUGAUGCAGCAACGCCGCGUGCGGGAUGACGGCCUUCGGGUUGUAAACCGCUUUCGCCUGUGACGAAGCGUGAGUGACGGUAAUGGGUAAAGAAGCACCGGCUAACUACGUG
rnacentral:rRNA from 1 species